AAAGACUACUAGGGGUGCCCUAAUUUGGGCUGAGAGAAAAACAGGAUGUUUUUUAACCCUUUGGACCUGAUCUGGUUAAUACCAGCGGAGGAAAGUAGUGGAGUGAAAAA
rnacentral:ncRNA from 2 species